rnacentral:lncRNA from 1 species
CAGAGUGCUGGGCCUGGCCCCUGAGGACUCCACCUGAAUUUUGGACAUCACAGCUCUGGUGAUCCCAGGCUCGCCACCCACCCUGGUGGCUUUCCCUGUAGGAAAAGGAGAAAAGGAGGCUCAAAUGUAUACUAAACACAGAAGCUGCAGAACAAGUAGGGAGACGUAUGUAACAAACACAUCUGACCAGCCAAGCAGGGAGACUAUGUAACAAACACAACUUACCAGCCAAGCAGGGAGACUAUGUAACAAACAUAUCUGGCCAAAAUGGAAACUAAAAGCCAGAUGAGCUUCCCAAGGCUAUAAUUUGUUUCACUUUCAGUCACAAACCAGCUCACAGCAAGGGCACUUUCCAAGCCACACAGAGACUGAGAUUCUUCAACAAAUGCACCAGAACCUAACUCCCCAGGACUGGAAAGGCACUGUCAGACUGCGGAGGUCAGACCUGAGCUGCUCCUUCCACGCAGUCCCCCACCUCCCUCCUGGACCCACCCCUGCACCCCAAGGUCAGCCUGCCUCCCACAGCACUGUCCACAGGCGACUGGCUGCUCUAGGACCCAGCUCAGGGUGUGUCCCAAGGAGGCCACUCCACUGUGGACAAACAACCCAAGAAUAAAAAACACAAGUGUCCAUCCAGAUGAAUGGACAAGACAGGAUGUGGUCUGUACACACAACGGGGUGAUCAGCCUUAAAAAGGAAUAAAAUUCUGACACUCAGGACAACACAGACGAACCUUGAGGACAUCACGAUCGGUGACAUCAGCCAGUCACAAAAGGCCAAGUACUGUGAGUCCACUUGGAGGAGGCAGUUACAGUCAUCGAAUUCACAGACAGAAAGUGGAACGAGGGGUGUAGGAGGCUGGGGGAGUGACUCUUUGUAUUUACAGAGUUUCAUUUUCAGGUAACCAAAAUAUUUGAAAAUAGUGGUGCUGGCUGCAUAACCCUAUAAAUGCACUUAAUACCACUGAUAAAAAAUAAUACGCUUAAAAAUAAACUUAAAAGAAUAAAUGACUGUAACAAUGCUCCAAUUAGCACCAAAAACACCCUCUCUGUAAAAUAACAGUUCACCGUAGUUUAAAGCCUUCAGAUUUGCACAUCAUGAAUGGGUUUGUUAAUAAAUGCCUUAUUAAUAUGAAAAAUGAAGCCAACAAGGACUUGAAUUAAACUUGAAAAUACUUAAGGAAAAGAGCCCACGGGGCAGUGAAGGGUGCUCGGGGCUCCUGCUUUGAAUCAGAGUCUGAGAACAGGCACAGAGGGAGGAAAGGAGCGCCUGCGACUCCGGAGUCCAGGAACCCUCCAGCAAAGGCAAGGCGGACGCCAUGGAGGAAUGGCCUUGCAGCCUCCCUGCCUGAUAAUCCAGCCCCGUCUACUUCACACGCUUUGUAUUCUCUGGAUCAAAGGGAUUUUUUUUCUUUUCUUUUCUUUUUUUUUUUGAGACGGAGUCUCGCUCUGUCGCCCAGGCUGGAACGCAGUGGCACAAUCUCAACUCACUGCAAGCUCCGCCUCCCGGGUUCACGCCAUUCUCCUGCCUCAGCCUCCUAAGUGGCUGGGACUACAGGUGCCCGCCACCACACCCACCUAAUUUUUCGUAUUUUUAGUAGAGACGGGGUUUCACCGUUUCAGCAAGAAUGGUCUCAAUCUCCUGACCUCAUGAUCCGCCCGCCUCGGCCUCUCAAAGUGCUGGGAUUACAGGCGUGAGCCAUGCACCCGGCCAAAGGGAUUUAAAUAAAUGAACAAAUAUCAAAGUUUAGAAAAGCCAUCUUCAUGUUAAAGAUUUUAAAAGAGAGAAAAAUUAAGUGUGAAAUUCACAGAACGACCUGGUCCCACUGUUCAGCCCUCCUGUGAACUGGACUGAACGAGACAAGAUGUGCUCUGGGGCUGCGGGGUCAGCAGAAGACUGGCAGUGCUCCUCGGGCACGUC